CGAAACCCUUCCUCUGAAACAAACCUCACAGUAUUUCAUCUUCACUUUCGAGACGAAUUUCAUCUUCUCAGCAACACUAUUCUUCUUCAAUCUUCGCACACGAAAUUUAAUCUUCAUACACGAAUCUCGCAUCAGUGAGAUAUUCUUUGGAAUCUUCACUCAAAUUAAUCGAUUAUGAUUCUCCAUUUAAAUUUGGGAUUAGGGUUUUUCGUUUCUAGAAACCGUUCAUUUCUUAUGCAAAGGUUGAAUAAUCGGUGCUACCUAUGAAGCUUCAGGCUCUUCAAAUAGAGUAUUAUCAAAGGGAUUCACAUAUUGGAUUUUUGGCUGUCACGAGUUCUUGCAUCUUUUAUCUUUCUUUUGUAUCUGGGACUUCAAGCGAGGAAGAGCUUCCUUAAGCUUACCAAUGGAAAACCUCAAUAUCGCUUGGUGAUUUUCUCAGACACUGACGAAGCUGCGGUUUUCACGAGAUUCUUUCACUGAUGCUGAGAAGAAUAAAUUUCAAGAGCUGUGGAAAAGGAAUGAUUUCACUCCUCCAUGAAUAACACUCCAUUGUUAUUAUGGUUACAUAUGUAUAGUAUUUUCAAUGUCAAAUUGCUUGAUGAGGUCAUUAAGGUUCUUUUGUGCAGCAGUAUAUGUUUAGUGCAGUGGCUUUCUUUAUGGUCUUCAACUCGUUUUCUCAAGUCAAUCGGACUCGUCCAAGUUCAACUACCUCAUGGCCAAUAACCCUUCUGACACACCUCCCGCCAGUGACUUCCUCGAACAAAUCCUCAGCCUUCAAACGUUUGCUUCUGUCAACUCUGGAUUAUCCAGACCCGACAUCUCUUUGACGGGAACAUCAUUGAUGAUGCUGCAGCUCAACUCCUCCGAAUGGGUAUGCAUAUAUAUUUGUCCAAAUUAAUUAGAUUAAUUAUUAAUGAAAUAGUUAAAGUGAAUAUAUGUGUUAGUGGAUUAAUUAUGAAUUGCACUUUACUAUUAGCAGACUAUUAAUGCUUCUGUAAAUUAAUGUAGAAAUGAAAAUACUAAAGUCCAUUGUGUGGCUGUUUAUUUGCUAAACUUUUUUUUGCUAUUAUUAUUAUAUUAUUGAUUGAUUUAUAUAAAUUUCUACCAUCAAUUCUUCAUAGAUAUAUCUGCUCCUAAUUUUCUUUUAAAUUUGAUAUAGAUUUUCAGAUACAGCCAUUAAUCCUAAUUUUGUCCAUCCUAUAAACU